rnacentral:rRNA from 1 species
CGAUAACGAACGAGACCUUAACCUGCUAAAUAGCCCGUAUUGCUUUGGCAGUACGCUGGCUUCUUAGAGGGACUAUCGGCUCAAGCCGAUGGAAGUUCGAGGCAAUAACAGGUCUGUGAUGCCCUUAGAUGUUCUGGGCCGCACGUGCGCUACACUGACAGAGCCAGCGAGUUCUCCCUUGGCCGAAAGACCUGGGUAAUCUUGUUAAACUCUGUCGUGCUGGGGAUAGAGCAUUGCAAUC